CAUAGGCGCGCGCGCGGCGCUCUCGUUUCGGCCAUUUCCUGUAACUGGGAACGCGACUUCCGGCGGAUAACAAGUCAGCCGCGACUAACGCCGUACUUAAACAUGUCAAUCAUGUUUCGUCGUAUUGUAGCUAAAAAAAAAAGAAAACUAGUCAAAACUCUUGGAUGUCAAGACCCAGCGGCCCAGCUUGACUGCUGAAGUCCACAGCCCAGGACCCCUCAAGGCGCGGGUGAAAGGAAUCCUGGGACUGAGAGGUUAUGACACCAAACCAGCAAGAAGUGUAGAGUGAUCCCCCAAGAGUCAGGAAAUUCGAGACACUGGGAUCAGUGUAUGGGAUCUGGGUGAGAUUUACUGGGAUCAGUGAGCAGCUGGGCAACCAAAUCCCAGGAAAAGACAAACCAGAUGCACCCCCCUUUUCCGAUCUGCAAAAUUCCCCCCGCCCCUCGGUCAGCCGGGCCCACAGGCCGCGUUUCCCCACGUGCUCUCCGAUGGCGACUGCUCGGGCAAAACCCGCCUGAGAGAGCAGGGCAAGAGACGGACAGGCAGGCCUGUCCCUCCCUUUCCCCGUACAGCAUCUAGACCAGCACAGGCUGCAGGUUUCCCCACCCCUCGCCCCUGCUCAGCCUCCCCCUCCUCCCCCAGCGGGGGCUCCUCACUCGGCCUUCCGCAUUGAGCCGCAGGGCACCGGGGGGCUCGACUCCCUAGCGCAAGGCGGAGGGCGCACACAGUGCAUGAAGCCCGCCUAUCAGGACCAAUCCCGGAGUUCCGACUUGGAGUUUCGGCCCGAAGAAGAAUUAGGAGAAAGCGUGGCGUCUGCUGAAAGAGCACCAGGUCACACGGAAGGAGUUUUCCCACUGGGCGGCGCUCACUUCCACAAUCACACACCCCGGCCUCCACCGAAAACGGCGUGGGAUAAACUUUGCACGCAGGGUGAAAAAAGGGAGAGAGGGGCCGCCACCAAGUGAGGAUGGGGGCCAUGCCAGCCCCCGUCGCUGCCAGCGAGCGCUUGAGAGACCGGAAGAACGCCAGCUGAGCACAGCUCUGGGGGACGGGGGGCUGGACUCCUCAUGGUUUGUGGAGCCCUGGAUGAAGGGGAGGGAAUCGUUUGGCUCAGAUGAGGGGAGGCGAGACACUUCGGGCCGGUUUAAUUUGUCUGCGAACCCACACUUGACAGGGAAAAGGCCUUUGAUUUGUGUAAAAGUGCUCAUUAAUGCAUAUUAAUGAGGCACGACAAGCUACAGCUUUUAAGAGAUUAAGGGGAAAGGCCGUGAAUAAUGCAGAGAGGAAUGAAAUACAGAACACUGCAGCAGAGAUGGAGUGGGAAAUUACUCUGCUACUGGGGAACCGACAUUCCCAAAACAAACAACCUGCUGAGGUACUGUAACAACAGGCUGGGGACUGCUUGUGUUAGACUCUCUUCCUGAGGGUGAAGGGGAACGGUGUUCUUUUCUGGAUUCAACCUCUGUAACCAAUGAAACGAUUCACCUACAGUAAUUCUUAGAGUUUUUAAGGAAACAGCUAAUCCUAAGGUCUUUUACAGCCUGUGAAAAGUAAGUGUUCUCUGGGCACUGUCACUUUUUCUUCACUCGUGGUUCCGUGGACUACUGUCCAGUCCAGCAGGCCUUGUAACCAUGAAGCUUUGAAAAUUAAAACGACUAUCUCUCCUAUCUGUGCAUAAUACAGAGCAGCAGCACUUAUCUCCAAAUUGAGCUGAUCGUUAGCUAAACUGGACCACUUCAACACAUUUUGAAGGUCUUCAGCUCUUGAUCAUUUAAAGAGACAUGGAAAACCUGGAUGCUGACCUUUGUGGUUGGGAACUGUGCACUUACGAUAAAAACCCUGCAAUAUUCACUCCUGAUCCUGGACGACCACAGCCCACCAGUUACCUGGUUAUAGUUACCUUAAAAUAACCAAUGAAGUGAACAACUGAUUCAAGUCAAGUUUCCAAGACUCCAGGGUGGAAAGCAAAGCAGAAAACAUGGUGAACCUCCAGGAUCGGGAUUCAAUAUCCGUGACAUAAAGAGUCUGUGUACAGAGAGAGAAUUUGAGUUCUGUGUGCCUUGACAAGCUUGCUGAACGGGCAGAAAGAAAUCUGCUGAAGCCGUCUUCUGCUUCAUAAAGAAGCAAAGAACUUGCGGGAGGGGAACUUUUAACAGAGGCUUUUCAAUUAGCAACCGAUCAAGCCUAAAACAGACGAGCAGUCUGAUUUCUUACCCAAGUAAUUCCUUCGGUUAAUCAAGUACAAAAGAUGGGAAGUACAGUUAAAAGCCAGAGGACAGAGGAGUGUGUGGAUUUCUCUGUUCUACUAGACACUCGGUGAAUGUGAUCUUCUGUGUCAGUGAUUUCCCUUGCCUCCUGCAUCCUAAAUAAAACUGCUCGGUGAGGUUUGCCCAGUGACACUUCAGUGUUUUGCAAGUCUUAUGCUCACUAAGACCAGUUUUCCUGACAGGCCUCAGGAGCCCCUGGAGGAGCAAUCAUUUUGUAUUUUGUUACCACACAGAAAGUUAAGAGGGUGAUGAAGUGAGCUGUCAGUUUGUAGAAAAAAAAAACACCUCUUCUAAUUUUCCACUGGAUAAACUGACAAGUGUAGAUUUAGAUUAGAAAAACUGCAAGCAGUUAUUGAUGGCAAGUGCUGUCAGCAGCAAGAGUGGUUUCACACUUGGCAGUGAUCACUACCUACAGUCGCCAUCUAUAAUUGCUCACAAUGAACCGCCAGAAAUUGCUGUAAUCUACCUUUGUCACUUUACCGUUGGAAAUAACGUAAUUUAGGAGCUGUUGGUUUUUUUUUUUGCAGCACGCAGAAGGUUCACAGAUUUUGUUUAACCCAGCUCUUCGUGAUUGAGUUAGAAACAAAGGCCUGAGAUAACAGCUGCUGCGAGUGCCGCUCAUGAUCAAUAUCGAGAGUUUCUGGGCCUCUCAGCAGUAUUUCAAAGCCCCUUGCCCACUGUGUUACACUGGGCAAUCUGCCUGCAUGCAGCUAUUCCUGGCAGGCUUGACAGAAUGCAGCCAGUCUCACAACAACCUCCUCGCUUUUAAGUGAUUGUUUUACAGAACUUCAUUAAAAAUAUAUUAGUCAGUUAAUGGACUAAUUUAACACUUUAUAACGGUCUUGAGGUUUUAAAGGGAACUGGAAAACCUGGAUUCCGGCUUUUGUGGAUCGAAACUGUGCGCCUGGAGUAUACCAGUAUUAUAUUCACUCCUGGUCCUGGAAGAUCUCUGCCCACCAGGUCUUAUAUUUACCUGCGGAUUCAAAUACCCCGGCAGGAGCAACUGAUUCAUGUCAGGUCAUUCUGAGUCCAGCAGGGUGGAAGAGCAGAGCGCUUUUUUACAGAAAUCUCUCUGCCCGCCCUACAACAAGCUCCUCACUGGUAGGCGAUUGUUCCAGUGGCGCUAUGUAAAUAAAGUCUGUUAGCCAGUGAACUCCUGAUCAAAGCUCUCUUCCCAGUCCCGGCUUAAGGUGGGUUUUGAAGAGUUUGUGACUGUUAAAAGUCGACCCUAGUGGUACACAACGCACAGCACCUCCAGACUCCCCCGCCACCACCAUCAUCAUCAUCAUCAUCAUCUCCGCAAGACCAACAGAUGUCAACAGCUGGAGAAGAGCCAAGCCCGCGGGCUGCAGAGGGCCCAGCCAGGAUCCGAGGAAGGGGGAACGGAGGACUUCGGAUACCUGGAAAGGGAAUGGCGACCACAACGUUCCUCCCGCUAAGCCCGCGCGGGGGGCUCCUCUGAUUUGCACUCUUUCUCUCUCUGCACUAAUGCCACCCUGACGGCACAACGCAUUUUGCGCCAUCCAGAAUAAAACACGGAGCGGGUCCCUGCCCUCAGCUCCUCUUGCCCUGCCCUUUCCUGCUCCGCUACACUGUGGCCCCGGUUGUGAGACGGCUGGGAGGCGGGGGCGGCGCAGGGUCUGUCUCUGCAGGUCGGCUGUGUGCCCCCCGCCCCCCUCCCCAUCGGCGCCUCGUCCCCGAACAUCUGUGAGAAACAUCUGGAUUCACAGACCCCUCGCCCCCGUGCUCGCGCGCUCUCUCGCUUUCAAACGCCCCCACCGGCCGGCCCUGCUCACAUCAAAGGACAGAUCAGAUCAGAGCGUUUCGGGGUUCCCCCCCCCCCUCCCCUCUUUGGGUUUGUUAAUGAACUGGUUCUUUAUUUUUUCCCUCCGAAGCAGCGUGGGUAGUUGGUGUGGCUGGCUCGCUGCUGCGCGAGCUCCAUUGCCCGGGAGCGAGACCACCGGAGUGAAAACUCUGCCCGUACAGCCGCGCGCCUGCCCCCCCCCGCCUCGCCCCGCAGAGAUCCCUCAGCGGAGACAGAAGACAGGAGCGGCUCGGCCCCCCCCCGAUCCGCCCGUCCAGGCCUGCGGAAACGCGCCGGGAACGCCGACACGAGGGCCGUGACAGCGGGAUUGAUUCGGAGCGGGAGGGGGGAAGGACGGGUCGUCGUUCCGCCCCGCUACGACUGGGAAAAAUUACACGCCCCCCCCGCGGAGGACACGAGCGGGCGGGAUGAGCAGAUCGGAAAACGCAAGAGGCCGGGCAGGAGAACUGGACAGUCGGGGUGGAAACACCUGUGCGCAGCCCCAUUUCAUUUUCCGUCAAAAAUCCUCAUCAAUCCCCGAUCCCACAAUGCCCCCAGGACUAUGGUCUGCUCGAGGAGACGGCAGACUGUGGCUCUGAAUGGCCUGGGGGCAUAAAUUGAGCCCUGUGCCCUGCUUCAGCUCUUCUCUGCCACUCCCACGAGCUCAGGAACUCCUCAUGCCUCCACCAUGUGUGGAGCAGCUGUCGGGACUCCAGGGCUGCGGGUUCGAACCCGUACUGUAUGAACGGGCAUGCACCCAGUAAGUCAUUGCGAAUAAACACAUCAGCCAAAAAAGUUCACAUUCCCGGCCUUCUCCAACACUAGAUUUAUAGGCACCCGUGUGGUAGCAAUCACACGCAUUAUUGGACACUAGGGAUUGCCGAUUACCUCACACUUCUGUCCAAAGAAGAAGAAAUCCUAAAUGAAUCCUGAUCUAAGACAAAAAAAGACGAGUCGUGAGAAAGAACUUCUGGUGCAGAUCAAACACUGCGAGGGAGAGGGACAGUGAAAGACCUGCUGUCAGUGGACACACGGGAUUCGCCAUGCAGUUGCCAAGAGUUAAAUUCCAGCUCGGCCUCAGACUGAAGGGAUCUGGACCGAUGAUCAGGAGCUGAUGAUUAAAGACAGAGGUGUGAAGGGCUGCUCACUGGACAGUAGCCAAUGAUUUGCAGCAGCAC